CCGCGCGCCUUCCUCAGCCGCUGUUAACCCCGGGGUCUAGAGAAGCACUGAGAGGACUCCUCAGCCUGGCGCUGUGCACAAUUAAAAUAGCAGAGUUCCCAUCUCCAAGGAAUUUGCAACCAUAGACAGCACAGUGAAGACAGGUGUUAACUUGAAGGCAGCGCACAAACGAUCUCCUGCCCUGGGAGAAGCCAGCUGCCAUAUCAUGAGAACGUGUAAGCAUCCUUGAGGAGCGGUCCAUGUGCUUUCCAGUGACUGCAGCCCUGGCCAACCUCUUGAUGGCCUCCUCAUGAGAGCUGAUGAGCCAGGACCACCCAGUGAAGCCAUUCCUGGAUUCGUGUCCUGCAGACACGGUGCAGCAGGUACUGGGGACUGGUUGCCACCAUUACAGCAUUAGUUGGUGCUAUAGACUGAAUUCUCUGUGCAUGCACCAAGCAAAGGCCAUGUGAGGACAUACCAGGAAAAGGCCCUCACCAGACACCAAAUCUGC
rnacentral:lncRNA from 1 species